GAUGAACGCUGGCGGCAUGUCUAAUACAUGCAAGUCGAACGAAGCGCAACUAGCUUGCUAGUUGUUGCUUAGUGGCGAACGGGUGAGUAACACAUGAGUAACCUGCCCUAAACACGGGGAUAACUAUUGGAAACGAUAGCUAAUACCGGAUAGGUGAUUAGAAGGCAUCUUCUUUUCAUUAAAGGUCCGUUUGGAUCGGUUUAGGAUGGACUUGUGGCGCAUUAGUUAGUUGGUGAGGUAACGGCUCACCAAGACGAUGAUGCGUAGCCGGCCUGAGAGGGUGAUCGGCCACAUUGGAACUGAGAUACGGUCCAAACUCCUACGGGAGGCAGCAGUAGAGAAUUUUCGGCAAUGGGGGAAACCUUGACCGAGCAAUGCCGCGUGAGUGAAGAAGGCCUUAGGGUUGUAAAGCUCUGUUGUAAGGGAAGAACAAGUAGGAGAGGAAAUGCUCCUACCCUGACGGUACCUUACCAGAAAGCCACGGCUAACUACGUGCCAGCAGCCGCAGUAAUAC
rnacentral:rRNA from 1 species